CAUCCCUUGUCCCAGGGCAGGGCGGACUGUGCCUGAAUCACCUUUACUUACAUAAACCAAGGACUUUACACCUUACCUAUGCAAUGUGUUCCAGAUCUUCCAGUAAGGUUUCCUAAUAAAGAUCUUACUAUUAAAUUCUUCCUGUCUACCCUAAGCUUCCUGAUUUAAACCUUUUGGAUUUUCCCUGAGUUCAGCUGCCAGAGAGGCAGCUUUUGGCCACUUUUUACAUCUUUAAAGAGUUAAAGCACCUCCUCAGUUCUCUCCCCUUGCCUAACUAACCCCUGAUUAAUCCAGUCUCUCCUCGGAAGCCAGAUUUUCUGGUUCAUGGAUUGUACACUUUCCUCUCCUCUGAGUUCUCAUCUCUUUGUCCGCACCUGAAACAUGGUAUGGACAAAGCUACGCAGGGAUGUUCUGUUGAGGCCUUAAAGCUGAGAAGCCCUGUCAGUGUCUUUGUACUUUUUACCUCCUUUACUCCUAGAUACAGAUAACUGCCUGUCUUCUCUGAGGUGGCAUGAAAUUGCUGUUAACCACGUGGAAUAUUCCAUCAGAACGGUGCCAAUUUCCUCCUGCAGCCUCUCAGAAUAGCUGCCUUGUAAUACCGGACACUGGUCCCCCUGGAAAUCGCUGCUGUCGUUCAGUGCUGGCUGUCAGAUUGUGCUGAAUACAUUGUCAUCAGAGCACCAACUGCUUCUGACGUGAUGCAGAUUUUCAUAAUGGCUGAAGUCUUAAUCUGCUGGCUCCUGCAUGUGGAGAAGCCCAGGGCUGGGAACAACAAAACCUAGCCUGGAAA